AGUGAACGCUGGCGGUAGGCCUAACACAUGCAAGUCGAACGGCAGCACAGUAAGAGCUUGCUCUUACGGGUGGCGAGUGGCGGACGGGUGAGGCAUACAUCGGAAUCUACUUUUUCGUGGGGGAUAACGUAGGGAAACUUACGCUAAUACCUCAUACGACCUACGGGUGAAAGCAGGGGAUCUUCGGACCUUGCGCGAUUGAAUGAGCCGAUGUCGGAUUAGCUAGUUGGCGGGGUAAAGGCCCACCAAGGCGACGAUCCGUAGCUGGUCUGAGAGGAUGAUCAGCCACACUGGAACUGAGACACGGUCCAGACUCCUACGGGAGGCAGCAGUGGGGAAUAUUGGACAAUGGGCGCAAGCCUGACCCAGCCAUACCGCGUGGGUGAAGAAGGCCUUCGGGUUGUAAAGCCCUUUUGUUGGGAAAGAAAAGCAGCAGGUUAAUACCCCGCUGUUCUGACGGUACCCAAAGAAUAAGCACCGGCUAACUUCGUG
rnacentral:rRNA from 1 species